CUACGGGUCGCUGCAGUGGGGAAUAUUGCACAAUGGGCGCAAGCCUGAUGCAGCCAUGCCGCGUGUAUGAAGAAGGCCUUCGGGUUGUAAAGUACUUUCAACGGGGAGGAAGGGAGUAAAGUUAAUACCUUUGCUCAUUGACGUUACCCGCAGAAGAAGCACCGGCUAACUCCGUGCCAGCAGCCGCGGUAAUACGGAGGGUGCAAGCGUUAAUCGGAAUUACUGGGCGUAAAGCGCACGCAGGCGAUUUGUUAAGUCAGAUGUGAAAUCCCCGGGCUCAACCUGGGAACUGCAUCUGAUACUGGCAAGCUUGAGUCUCGUAGAGGGGGGUAGAAUUCCAGGUGUAGCGGUGAAAUGCGUAGAGAUCUGGAGGAAUACCGGUGGCGAAGGCGGCCCCCUGGACGAAGACUGACGCUCAGGUGCGAAAGCGUGGGGAGCAAACAGGAUUAGAUACCCGCGUAGUC
rnacentral:rRNA from 1 species